rnacentral:rRNA from 1 species
ACCUGCGGUCUAUCAGCUAGUUGGUGAGGUAAUGGCUUACCAAGACUAUGACGGAUACUUGGUCUGAGAGGAUGAUCAGGCACAAUGGAACUGAGACACGGUCCAUACUUCUACGGAAGGCAGCAGUGAGGAAUCUUCCACAAUGGACGAAAGUCUGAUGGAGCGACACCGCGUGAAGGAUGAAGGUCUAACGAUUGUAAACUUCUUUUCUGGGGGAGCAUAAUGAGAGUACCUUAGGAAUAAGGGGCGGCAAAUCACGUGCCAGCAGCCGCGGUAAUACGUGAGUCCCAAGCAUUGCCCGGAAUCACUGGGUGUAAAGGGUUCGUAGGUUGAAAAAUAAGUUGUAUAUAAAAGACCGAAGCUUAACUUCGUGUUUGUGUUCAAAACUGUUUUUCUAGAAUCAAGGAGAGGUAAGCGGAAUUCUGAGUGUAGGGGUGCAAUCCGUAGAUACUCAGAAGAACACCAAAAGCGAAGGCAGCUUACUGGAAUUGUAUUGACACUGAGGAACGAAAGCGUGGGGAGCGAAAAGGAUUAGAUACCCUUGUAGUCCACGCCCUAAACGAUGAUAACUAAGUGUUGUGACUUGCUCGCAGUGCUGAAGCUAACGCGAUAAGUUAUCCACCUGAGGAGUACGGUCGCAAGAUUAAAACUCAAAGGAAUAGACGGGGACCCACACAAGCAGUGGAUCACGCGGUUUAAUUCGACAAUAAACGGGAAACCUUACCCAGACUUGACAUCUACCGAAUUUCUUAGAAAUAGGAAAGUGCCUUUAUUGGAGCGGUAAGACAGGUGCUGCAUGGUUGUCGUCAGCUCGUGCCUUGAGGUGUUCGGUUAAGUCCGUUAACGAGCGCAACCCAUGUUCUUAGUUAUUAUGUCUAAGAAGACUGCCUUGGUUAACAAGGAGGAAGGUGUGGAUGACGUCAAAUCAGCAUGGCUUUUACGUCUGGGGCCACACGCAUGAUACAAUGGUAUGCACAAAGAGCAGCAAUAUGGCGACAUUGAGCUAAUCUUUAAAACAUAUCUCAGUCCGGAUUGAAGUCUGAAACUCGACUUUAUGAAGUUGGAAUUGCUAGUAAUCGUGAAUCAGAUAUGUCACGGUGAAUAUGUUCCUGGGUCUUGUACUCACCGCCCGUCAUG